AAUGUAAAAACAACAAUGGCGGAGAUGCGAUUUGUGCAGACGGUUUAAUGUUUGUACUCGGAUAAAUAAGACUUUUUGUAUUACGCCAUGGAACUGGCUAAGUCAGUGUUUGGCUCAAGAAAUCCGGAUGGAUAUAGCAGUAAAGCUACAACUGUUGAGACAUUGUCAGAAGAUGAAGACGACUUGGUGGCUGGACACGUAGAAAACGUCAGUGUCUCCACUGGUCAGUACGCCAGUUCAUCUGACUUUGUUCCCACCCCUGGGGGGCCAUUCUCAGCAUUGACUCCAUCUAUGUGGCCAGAAGAUAUACUAGCAAAGUUAGGAAAUCCACCAGAAGAUCCCAAUGGCCAGCUUGAUUACCGAUAUGAUGAGUUUGGAUUUAAAGUAGAGGAGGAAGAUGGUCCUGAAGAGAAUUCAAGUAAACUUCUGAGUACUCCUUUUGUGGAAGACCCUCAGCAUCGCUUGAAGUGGACAGCAUACUUAGAGUUCACACAUAACAAUGAAGUGGGGGAUUUGACAUGGGACAAGGUUGAACCCAGACUGCCCAGAUCUGAGAAGUUGCGAGGGAUGGUGAAGCAGGGGAUUCCCCAUUCCCUCCGCCCACACAUCUGGAUGAGGCUAUCAGGAGGAAUGGAGAAGAAACUCAAGUCUGACCUGACUUACAAAGACAUCGUCAAGGCCAGCUCUAAUGACCUACUUAUGACAUCAAAACAAAUUGAGAAGGACCUACUAAGAACAAUGCCAAGCAAUGCUUGCUUCUGUAAUAUCCAUGGAACUGGGGUUCCGAGGCUUAGGAGGAUACUGAGGGGUCUGGCCUGGCUGUAUCCAGACAUCGGCUACUGUCAGGGCACUGGAGUAAUCGCGGGCUCCCUGCUGCUGUUUAUGGAGGAGGAGGACACGUUCUGGAUGAUGUGUGCCAUCAUUGAGGACCUACUGCCGGCCUCUUACUACUCCAGUACUUUGAUUGGGAUUCAGGCGGAUCAGAGGGUGAUGAGGCAGUUGAUAAUAAGCUACUUACCAGACAUAGACCUUGUGCUGAAGGAACAUGAUAUAGGAAGAAGAGUUGCGUACCCUUGACAACUCAGCUCAGAUCUUUAAUUCCCUGUCAGAUGUGCCAGGUGAUGUUCAGGAUGUAGAGGAACUAAUUGAGGUCUCAUACCGAGUGGCUGGCUCGCUCACAGACAUGGUGAUAGAAUCUCAGAGAAGGAAACACUUAGCCUACUUAAUGGCAGACCAAGGUGCAAUAGUUAACCCAGACUCAGCAAAGAACCUGCCCAAACAGCAAUUAAACAAAAGGCAUUUGAAAAGAUCCCGCUCCUUAGUGUCAACUUUACUUUGGGGAGAGAUGGAAGAAGAUGACUUUGGUAAAGCUAAAAAUAUCCGCCAAACAGAAAUUCUUGUGGACCUCAGGGAGGCCAUAUUGAAAAUAGCCCGCCAUUUCCAGUCCCUGGACCCCAAGAAUAAUAAAGUGAUAUUAACAGCAGACUAUGCAAUGGAAAGUCAUGCCAGGGAUCUAGAGAACUACCUGAAUGUGGCAAGGAACAAGAGGAGGAGAGCAAAGGCAUUGCUCGACUUCGAGAGGCAUGAUGAUGAUGAGUUAGGCUUCAGAAAGAAUGACAUCAUUACAAUCAUAUCUCAGAAGGAUGAGCACUGUUGGGUGGGGGAGCUGAAUGGGUUGAGAGGCUGGUUCCCUGCCAAGUUUGUGGAGUUGCUGGAUGAGAGAAGUAAGCACUACAGCUCUGCUGGAGACGACAGUGUCACAGAGACCAUUACAGACCUGGUCAGAGGAACAUUAUGUCCAGCAUUGAAGGCUGUGUUUGAGCAUGGGUUGAAGAGGUCAUCUAUUCUAGGGACCCCCUGUCAUCCUUGGUUGUUUUUAGAGGAGGCAGCAACCAAGGAAGUGGAGAAGGACUUCCAGUCUGUGUACUCCAGACUAGUGUUGUGUAAAACCUACAGACUUGAUGAAGAUGGCAAAGUACUUACACCAGAAGAGAUUUUAUACAGGGCUGUCCAUGCUGUAAAUGUGUCACAUGAUGCUUGCCAUGCUCAGAUGGAUGUCAAGUUCCGGUCACUCAUUUGUUGUGGCCUUAAUGAGCAGGUACUACAUCUGUGGCUGGAGACUCUGUGUUCUGGUCUGGACAUCGUAGAGAAGUGGUAUCACCCCUGGUCAUUCAUGCGUAGUCCAGGCUGGGUACAAAUCAAAUGUGAACUAAGAGUUUUGUCUCAAUUGGCUUUCAACUUGUCGAUGGACUGGGAAGUACCAAAAAGAAGCAUGCCACAAAAUGUCCAGGUCAAAAAAGGUGUCCGCGAUAUGCUGAUUAGGCAUCACCUGUUCAGCUGGGAGAUAUAAGUAAAAUACAUGUCACUGUAGAUAAUGAUGGUUGAGGGACUUACUGAUACAUAUUAUCAUAUUGUAAUGUAACACAUAACAGCAUUAGCAGGUUAGAUAAGGUCAAAUUAUACUUGUGUAGAGAAACACCUAGCAGGUCUGGAAUUGUUUCCACACCAAUAAGACAUCAUUAGCUCUUGUAGAACAUUCUCCAUACUCAUUGAUGCAUAAUGAAGUUGUUUAUUAUUAGACUGAGAAAAAUUGAGGCUGAAUUCCAAAUACAUGGUUUAUGUGCUAUGGAAUACUUUAUUUUAGCAAAAUAUGAAAUCCAUUAUUUGAAUGUUCACUUGUUGAUAUUAUUUUGUUUUACAGUCAUUUAAACAAAACUCCUUAUGUUGUCCAAAAUUUUAAGAUAAUGUCAGAUGAAUAUUCCAUAUUUCAUUCUUUUUUAUGAUUUUCUGUGUUAAAUUAAGUAUUGUUUUAAACUGACCUUUUUCAUUGGACUUAUUUCCUAUUGACUGUGUCAUGUGGAGGUAUUUCCUUCAAUACAUGUAAACUAUUUACUGGUAUAUGUUUGGAGAUUUUCAUCUGACAUUGAUCUCUUUAAAGAAAUCCACUUCUUUCUAUGUUGUCAUUCUUUUUUGUUUGAAACAUAUUAUGUUACAAAAUUUUAUUUAUAUUAAAGUCUGUUUUUUUUUUAUACAAUAUUUGUUGAUUUCAAUUAUUAAAUAGUUAUACAAU
rnacentral:misc_RNA from 1 species